GUAUGUCACCAUAUAGGGAAAUCCCCAUUGAGGUCACUAUGACCUGGGGACUUGGGGCCAUCACCUUGGUCACUUUCUAAUACCUGCCACAGGCCUAAACACUCACCCUUGCCAUGUGAUGUUUCGAUGAUCCAGUCUACAAAUAAUUGAAGAGACAUUGAUCCCUUAAAUUGAGGGGAUGAAUGCAGAAGAUGAUGACAGAGUGAGUGUGAGCAUGAGAUGUUAUUUUACUUCAAGUUCAUGGUCAAAUACUGUCCCCAGAGUACCCCUCAUGGGGCCACUCAGCUACACACAGAGAAAGCUGUGAGAGUUGUCAGGCCUGAGCCAGAGGCAUCAGCCCAGCCCGCUUCCUCUCAGCUACAACAGGAAAUGAGUGUCCAGGACUCUGCUCUGCUAGGGGACUACAUGUGCUCUGUCUUCUGCAAUUACCCAGUCUUGAGCACAGCACUUGGCACACAGCCGUCCCUCUACGACUACUGACUGGAUGAAUAAAUGAAUGAGCAAAAGGACAGAUGAAUGCAGCCCA